rnacentral:misc_RNA from 1 species
AAGUCUAGGUAUACUAUGGGCAAUCGCACCUUGUUACAUUUUUAUUUGAAUGUUCAUAUCUCUUUAUAGUGGGAAAAUAGGUCCCACAUACCUCUUUUAAGUAGUUUAGUGUUUAAUAGCUUGUUAGGGUUAAAUGCCCUACCAUAAGAUAAUUUAUCUCAUGGACCAUUCUUUAGUUUCAAUUUUUAUGUCUCAUCUUUACCUAUCCAAUUGAUCAAGUUGCAGCCACUAUUUGGCCACACUUCCUUCAUGGAAGUUAUUUCCCUAUGUUUUAUCUUUAUUUUCCUUUUUGAAUCAUGUCAAUUUGAUUUUCAGAACUCAAGUUAUGGUCAGAUAACCAUAACAGACUCAUUUCCAGAUUCUGGUUCCUUAACUAGGCAGCUUUCAGACUUAAAGUUUACCUACUUAAUGGAACAGGUUGUAGUCACUUUUAGGCAUGGUGAUCUUCACUGAAACUGUUGCCCUAUGUCUUGUGGUCACUUAGAAUUUUUAAUCACAAUUUUUCAAGUUUUGUGGAGUUAUUUAUGGCCAAAUAACUGACCUGGGCUCAUGUACCCUUUGUCAACAGGGGCUUAGUUUAGGACAGUGACUGCAGGUCACUUUUUGAGGUUCUUAAAUUCAUAAUUUGAGAAAGGUUCCUAAAACAAAG